AUGGCUGUCGUCAGCUCGUGUCGUGAGAUGUGGGUUAAGUCCCGCAACGAGCGCAACCCUACUCUUAUGUUGCCAGCACGUUAUGGUGGGGACUCGUAAGAGACUGCCGGGGUCAACUCGGAGGAAGGUGGGGACGACGUCAAGUCAUCAUGCCCCUUAUGUCCAGGGCUUCACACAUGCUACAAUGGCCAGUACAGAGGGCUGCGAGACCGUGAGGUGGAGCGAAUCCCUUAAAGCUGGUCUCAGUUCGGAUCGGGGUCUGCAACUCGACCCCGUGAAGUCGGAGUCGCUAGUAAUCGCAGAUCAGCAACGCUGCGGUGAAUACGUUCCCGGGCCUU
rnacentral:rRNA from 1 species